rnacentral:lncRNA from 1 species
CUGGUUUACCAUCCCAAAUAAAAUCAAAUAAUUUUUUUAUGAAUUGAUUUAGUAAUCCAUUAUUAAGAUUUGGUAAAGUUAGAAAUAGGUGAUUGAGCUUUGAAAUUAUAAGACUUUUAAUUAUAGUAAUUUUUCCAAUUGGGGAUAAGUAUUUGUUAGACCAGCUUUUCAUUGUUCUUUCUAUCUCUUUAAAUUUGGGUUCAAAAUUUAGUGUUUCCAUUUCUUGUAAGUCUACUGAAUAUUUAAUACCCAAGAGCGUAAAUCUGUUGGAACCCCACUCCAAUCCCCACUUUACACACAUUGUAUCUUGGCUAUAUUUCUUUUUCCCAAUCCAGACUACCUUUGUUUUCUCUAAAUUCAUCUUGAGACCAGACCAUUCAGCAUAUAGUUCUAAAACACAAAGAGAUGCAUCUAAGGAUUCUGGUGAACCAUCUAAAAUAAGUGUGGUGUCAUCAGCAUAUUGUGAUAUCAAAAAUUCUGAGUCUUCAAUAGUAAUACCUUUUAUAUUUUCGUUUUUUCUAAGUAAUAUUCCUAAAAUUUCUGCACAUAACAUGAAAAUGUAAGGGGAUAAGGCCUAAAAUAAAAUUUCAUUUGUUUGGCAUUGCCGCCCGACCCACUGAAAAACUUGCCGCCCAAAUAAUUUUAUUUGCGUUUCAGAAAUUUAUUUUUUUUUAUUUAAAAAAAUCGAAAUUGUGCCGGAAAUUGAUCGUAUCCGCCGAGUUUGUUCCUGGCUUUACUUAUUUCAAAUCAUGAUCUUAAAAGCGCUUGCCUUACACUGUAUUGGGAGCAAACAUUUAAAUGACAUGGAAUAGAAAAAGUCUGCCAAAAGUAAUGUCAAAGAGGCCGGCAGGGGAAGGCAUCUCCCUAUGCUGCAAUGCAUUGGUUAAGGGAGAUGGAUUUUAUCAAAAAUCAAAUUUCAGCUAUUCUUUGAAAGAAACGUUCUG